rnacentral:tRNA from 1 species
GCCUUGGUAGCUCAGUUGGUAGAGCACUACAUUGGUAAUGUAGAGGUCACGAGUUCAACUCUCGUCCGGGGCU